GUUUUCACUUUGGCAGCACAUACACUAAAAAUUGGAAUAAUGCAGAGAAGAUUAACAAGGCCCCUGUGAAAGGAUGACACAGAAAUUCAGGAAGUGCUCCGUAUUUUU
rnacentral:snRNA from 1 species